rnacentral:lncRNA from 1 species
CUCCUUAACUAGAACUCCUAACUAACUAAAUAACUAGUAGUUAGUUAGUUAACUAACUCUAUCUCUAAGCAACCACCCAAGCAAGUGGCUAGACAAGAUCACAUCACUUAAACUCACAUCCCAUCACAAGCUAGUCUAGGUUUUGUCCCCUUAUCCUCUUCCACCCUUUCCUCCUUCAUAAUCACGAAAUUUCCUCUUCAUUUUACCCUCAUUUGACCAGACAAUACUCCAGGGAAUUACUCUCAACCUUCAUCUCAUUUUCAAGCACAAGAACUUCCUUCCAAAGCCAUCAAAACCAUGAACUAAAGGGCUGCUGUCCCUUUUGUGUUUCAGCCACCAUUUCACCCAUCUACACCUUCCUUUUGCUUGAUAUUUUUACCACCAAAUACCCCUGGAAGUUACUUGUUAUGAUACUCAAAAUUAUUGAUUCAAAACAGUGAGUAAACUACCCUUUUUCUUGCUCUUUUGCUGUGAAAUUUCGUGACAGCAACAUAGCCAAAAGAGUGGCUGUUUUGGAGCAUCAAACCAACAACCAAAAGUUCAUCUUCAACCUUCCAUUCUUCAAGUAUUCACAUAAGGUGAGUUCAUACCCCUACAUUUUCAUGUUUUAUUCAAGUUUUAAGGGGGGGAAUACAAGUUAGAACACUAAACAUAACUUAAAUUUAAAUGACAGCUUUCUACAGAAAAGUUGAGUCUUGUUCACGGACUGUUUUGACCAUCUUAAACUUAAUAUCUUUCAAAACUGUACAAUAUGGAAAUAGUUCAAGUUAUAACUUUCUAAGGACUACUCGCACGUGUUCAUACGAUUUUUCUACAAUUUAUGGCGAUUUUUAUAAAACUUCCUGUCAUUUCAGAAGCGAUUUCGGACCAGUCUGUGAAGAUGUUCAUUUCACACUAGUUUGAGACCACUAAAAAUACUAAUAAAAAUUAGGAACAAAAUAGACUCAUUUUAUAAACUCUCAGAGGUGAUGGAUUCAGUUUUUCACUUACGACGAUUUUUCUAUGAGUUUUCUAAAAACAGGGACAGUAAAGGGUAAAACUGUCAAAAGUGGUUUAUAGAUUUAUUAACACCUUCUAACAUUUUUGAGCAAUGUUUAUACAUUGAGGAAGUUAGAACACAAUCAUUUAAAUAUGUUUAAUUACCAUUUUUACAAAAGUGAUAAGUACAAAAAGGUCUUUAGUAUCAAACUUAAGGAUUAUUUCAUGCAAAGUUUCUAAUAAAAACGUAAGAAUAUGAACAACAAUUACGAAACAUACCAAAUCAUCUUUUAAAAUUUAUACAUAUAUAUAACCAUAUACAUAUAUAUGUUUUGUUUACAAAACUUCUUUAUGCUUUUAUAUUAUAAAUUGCAUGCCUCUAUAUGUAUAGUUAUAUAAGAAAUGUUUAAAAGACUUAGAAAGGCUAUCCACCCUGUUUCCUUUUCCUCGAUUUGGAUGUGGUCUGGUGGGAUAUCGGGUACUCCUCCGAAGGUCGUUUAAAUAUUAGUUAUAUAUCAUGUAUACAUAUAUGGUCAUAAAUGUUCCACCAGUUAAUUUAGUUUCGAUACUCCUGGGUAGCAAAGGUGUAUAAACCUACUUGGACACUCAUCAAUUACAUUCUAGUAAACUAUUAUAGGAAUAGUUUAGAGUAAACAAAACAUUUUCACUACUACAAGAAAUUACACCAGAGUCAGUUCAUUCAUGAGUCCAGACUACAUGUUAUAUGAAGGAAUACUUUUACAUGAAUACUUAUACAUGAAUACUUUUACAUAAACAUUAUAUGGCAAAUUACUACUACAUGUUAUAUGAAGGAAUACUCUUACCUGAAUACUUAUACAUGAAUACUUGUACAUGAAUACUUUUACAUAGACAUCAUAUGGCAAUUUAAUAUUACAUGUUAUAUGUCUAGAUACGGUUAUAUUGUUCGCCUUUCUAUCUUUACCUUGUGAUUCAAUCACAUCAUCGACGAGGUAGACUGGGACUUUAUCUCCUAGUACCACAUCAUACUUUGAGGGACUAACCAUUCCGAUAACCACUGCUAGCUACAGAGGUAAAUGAACAAUCUACGGAUGUUCUAGGUUGAUACCAUCGUGGGUAUACAGAAGGGACUAACUAUUCCNUUCAUAUUUUGGCAUCAUAUUGUAAUUGGUUUUGAACAUGUACCUUUUAACAAUGUAAACUUUCAAUUAUAUAUAUGAUGGUUGUAUUGCUUUCUUUACUAUGUAUUCAUUUGUUACGUUACCACAUGAAGUCAUCCGCCCCCGAACGUUUCCGCCGUUCCGGUUUGGGGGUGUGACAGAUUGGUGUGAGAGCAUUGUUUAUAGUGAGCCAAGUAUAUCAAACGACAUAAGAUAUACUAACUAUAAAUACAUAGGGACUAAAACUCUCUGACUUAACAAUUUCAAAACAGGAACAUUAGGGGUCCUUUGCUGUUAAGUCUAUGUUUGCUAAGUGUAUACGUUAAGGUGGUAUAUACUAAAAGUUUUAUAGACUUAGAAUUUGUGAUUUUCACUUUACUUCUUGUUCCUUGUUUGGAUGCAGAGAUAAGGUAAGAUCACUUAUUCGACUGACCAUUUAAUCUUGACUGUAUAUGACCUGUAUACACAAGGCAACCAUAGAAGGACCAGGAAUGGACCGAGAUUUCACGAAAAAUGUAAGUACAUACAAACAUACUAGUAAGGAGUCAUAUUGGCAACAAAACAAAAAGUAUUAAGAUAAGUUAAACACUGCGAGUCAGCCUCGGGGUAUGUAAUCAUGUCUGGGAUGAAUAUAGCCUGAUCAACUAUAUUUAUCCAAGAAGUGACCAACGUAUGCCGAGGAAUGGUCGUAGUGAAUGACAAGUCUAAAAACUUACCAACAAACCAUACAAAGAAACUUUAACAUACAAAUUUAAAAUACUAUAGGAGUAUUUUGCGUUACAAUAGAACCACACACUUAGAUUCUUCAUAUGCUUCAUACCCCUAUUCUCGCAUAGGCAUAUUAGCUAGACUUCAUCUCCACAUAGACCCCUACUAUCCUGCCACCGAAGCCAAUAGAUGGAUCAAGAAGGAUCCAGAAGAAGAUUUCGAAGAGUACCAAUAGAUGAAAUACGAGGAAGAAGAUUUCCGAGAAGGGACCAGAUGGAGAAAGAAGUUCGGGAGAUACCAUCAAUAAACCUUACCCUAUCAAGAGGAGUGUGAGAACCUCCACCUCUCAUUUCAGGAAGCAACCCGCAAUUAACUACCUAGCCACACAUAUAGACUGGAGAGGACAACCGAUGAUCCACAACCGACAUAAACUCACUGCACCGUACUUAGGGCCAUAGCACCCAUAGACUGGCAAGCAGAUCAAGAGAACAAUACAGAUCACCUACACUCCUUAGAAAAGGAGAUAGUCGUUAUAGGACAAAGAACCCUUACAGCUACAACCUGGACAGUCAUCACAGAACUGAGAACAGAGGAGGCCACUCGCGAAAUAGAAUCAUGCCGACACAUGAAGGUAAUCAGCAUACUGGUGCAACACUAGUUCUAUAAAUAGACCCUACAACAUUUCAAAUUGCGGUAACAGCCGCCGUGACAACAGUCAUGGCACACCUCGGCGCUAGCAACACAAACAAAAGUGGGAACGGCGCCGAAAAUUCCAAUUGUAAUAACAACCAGGGACACCCCGAGUAUGUUCCUGCAACGACGCCCCAGAUCAAGGACCUACGAAAAGACAACAAACAGUGACAUUCCAUACCACCACCAUCCCUACUACCUCAGUGCCGACAAGACCAUAUGUUGGAAACCUGCCAAAAUGCACCAAGUGUAGCUUUCAUCACAAAGGAAAGUGCAGGGAAAUGCACUGCAAGAACUGUAAUGAAAAGGGGCAUACCACAAAUUUAUGUAGGGUGCCGGCUCAACAGACCGCCCAGAACACAAAAGCUGGGAUGAGUCGGACUUGCUACAGAUGUGGAGAAGUAGGANAAUGCACCAAGUGUAGCUUUCAUCACAAAGGAAAGUGCAGGGAAAUGCAUUGCAAGAACUAUAAUGAAAAAGGGGCAUACCACAAAUUUCUGUAGGGUGCCGGCUCAACAGACCGCCCAGAACACAAAAGCUGGGAUGAUUCGGACUUGCUAUAGAUGUGGAGAAGUAGGGCAUUUAAUAAAGGAGUUCCUGGAGACUAAAAACAAAGAUGUCAGGAGCGCUGGAAGUGUUUUAGCAACAGAGCGUGGGAAAGCAGUAAUAGACCCUGCUGAGAUUCCGGUACGUUCAUUCCCGAUAGCACAUAUGCAUGGAUACUAUAUAAUAGCAACGCGGAGAGGAGUAUUGUGAGUCGUAGAUUUAAUCAAUUUCUCAACCAAAAACCUCAAAAACUUAAACGAAAUAUUUACAGUAGAAUUGGAAUAAUCAAAAGCACUAGAGACGUGUACAUAGGGUGCACUCUAACACUAAAUCAACCAAUUCAUUCAAAUCAUCCUAAAACCGGUCACAAUAAAAAUUUACGACAUUUUCAUUUUAACAACGUAUUAGUUAGUUUCUUCACCAUACCGAUAUCAUAUAUUACGAAAAGGCCAUUCGCCUAAACCCAUCGAGUAAUAGAACCCUCGUUAUCUAUGGCGACAAACCGGACACAAACCCCUAACUCACCUUUUACAACAAGACUCAGAAGUACCUACACAGGAGGUACCACGCCGUCCUAGCCCGUGUUGUGGAUAAGAAACAACAAGAGAAAGACAUCAUGGAUUUUGAAAAAGCCCGUAACCUUCUCGAUAUAUUCCGAGAAGAUCUCCUGGGAAUACCAUCCAUACGACAACCCGAGUUCAAAAAUCAACCUAAGUGCAGUAGUUGUGGAAAAGGGUUGUUGUAAAUGCCAUCUCACCCAAGUUAAUCACCCCACUCAAGUAGAGACUAUGGACCCAUACUAGUGAAUCUAUGAUUACUAAGUGUAUAUAUUGGAGCCCUAUAUAAUUAAGAUUCUACGGACUUAGGGUUGGUAAUUCCGCUUUAAAUCCUUUUCCUUGUUUGGAUGUGGGCUUAGAAUAGAAUCACCGAUUCGACUGUCUUUUCAAUCUUAAUUAUAUACGACUUAUAAACACAAAGAGAUGAUAGAUGAAUCAGUUAUGAGUCAUACCAUGAACUACAUGACAAGUUACCCAGGACAGUGGAUGGACAUGCUACCACUUGAACGAUCGUAGACAAAUCAACCAAACCCACACACUUUUUACAGACCAAGGCUACAAAGAAAAAUAGAAAAGCUGACAGGAGCAAAUCACAAGAAGAUUGCGAGACUGCAAAGUAUACCACUAUCUAUCAUUUUGGAUAAGGGACAGGUGAUUCGCCUCGUGUUUUCGAUAUUCGUUAAAGAAGUCCUUAAUAUCACCCUCAAACUGACAGACAAAGCGGAAGAACCAUUCAUCGAAUCCUUAUACAACAACAACUAUUACAUUAAUAUCAAAGUCCCGUCAAUCGAAGCUCUCUACAGAAGCAAGUGUAGAUCGCCUCUAUGCUGGGAUGAGGUAGGUCACACGCAACUAGGUAAGGGACAAGUUACUAACAACACUCUCACCAGCCCCCAGAUCAUACGAGAAACUAUAGAGAAGAUUGUUCAAACCCGUGAACAAUUGAAGGCAUCCCAGGAUCCGAAGAAGAGCUUGUCUGAUGAGACUUUUGUUAUUCCACUUGACGAAAUUGAAGACAACGAGAGUCUAAACUUCAUCGAAGAGCCGGUGAAAAUCAUGGGUCAGGAGGUCAAAAGGGCUAAACAAAGCCGCAUACCCAUAGUAAAGGCCCGUUGGAACGCCAAGCGAGGACCUGAAUUCACUAGGGAACGCGAGAAUCAAAUAAAAAAAACAAACACCCUCAAUUGUUUAGUGAUAUCCCGUCUAAAAGUUGAAUUUCAGGGCGAAAUUCUUUUAAUGGGGGGAGAAUGUAACAAUUAGUAAAAAUAGGAAUGAUCGUACGAUGCUAUGUUUUGAUUACUAAGCAAUAUGAGUAUUUUAUCAAGAAUGGUUGAAGGAAUUUAACCUCCUUUAUUUAAAUAAGUUCUUGUGAAAUAUAAAACAAGUAACUAAUGAUAAUUUCGUUAUGAUGUAUGACUACGAACCAUCACCGGUUUGUGAAAAUUAGCAUAUAACAUCAUUUGAACGCAACAAACUUAAUUUUUGUAUCAACAUGUAUCUAGUUGAUAAUUAAGUUAGGUUCUAUGUAAAACGUGUGCUUAAUAGUUUUGGAGGAUCUAAAUUUGACAAAUAUACGAACCAAAGUGACAAAACGUGUUUAACGAUAUGGUUAACCGGUUAAAUGUCACAAAAUUAUACAUUGGUCAAUAAAUUUUAUAUUUAAAUAAAUUAAAAUAUAAAAUGAAUUAUUAUAAGGUAUAAUUAAAAUGUAUUUAAGUGUUUUUGAAUAAAAAGAAUAAAACAUAAACAUUAAAGUUCAAAUACACAAAAACUACAUUGUUAUUUUAUACUAAGUAUACAUGUAUGUAUUUGUACAUAUGUAUUAUUAUCUAGUGAAUGACUAGUAACGGGUCAUGAUUUAAGUGAUUUCAUGUAAGGAAUAUGAUUCUAAAUCAAUUAAGAUAAGAGAAUUGGUGUAGAUAUGUACCACAUAACUAAUAAGUGCUUAAUCACUUAAGACAUUUUACUAAGAAUGCUUAUUAAUCCCUCUUCUAAUUUUCGAGAUUAAGACCUUCCAUCUCCUUAACUAGAACUCCUAACUAACAAAAUAACUAGUAGUUAGUUAGUUAACUAACUCUAUCUCUAAGCAACCACCCAAGCAAGUGGCUAGACAAGAUCACAUCACUUAAACUCACAUCCCAUCACAAGCUAGUCUAGGUUUUGUCCCCUUAUCCUCUUCCACCCUUUCCUCCUUCAUAACCACGAAAUUUCCUCUUCAUUUUACCCUCAAUUCAUCAGCCAAAACUCCAGGGAAUUACUCUCAACCUUCAUCUCAUUUUCAGCCACAAGAACUUCCUUCCAAAGCCAUCAAAACCAUGAACUAAAGGGUUGCUGUCCCUUUUGUGUUUCAGCCACCAUUUCACCCAUCUACACCUUCCUUUUGCUUGAUAUUUUUACCACCAAAUACCCCUGGAAGUUACUUGUUUUGAUACUCAAAAUUAUUGAUUCAAAACAGUGAGUAAACUACCCUUUUUCUUGCUCUUUUGCUGUGAAAUUUUCGUGACAGCAACAUAGCCAAAAGAGUGGCUGUUUUGGAGCAUCAAACCAACAACCAAAAGUUCAUCUUCAACCUUCCAUUCUUCAAGUAUUCACAUAAGGUGAGUUCAUACCCCUACAUUUUCAUGUUUUCUUCAAGUUUUAAGGGGGGGAAUACAAGUUAGAACACUAAACAUAACUUAAAUUUAAAUGACAGCUUUCUACAGAAAAGUUGAGUCCUGUUCACGGACUGUUUUGACCAUCUUAAACUUAAUAUCUUUCAAAACUGUACAAUAUGCAAAUAGUUCAAGUUUAUAACUUUCUAAGGACUACUCGCACGUGUUCAUACGAUUUUUCUACAAUGUAUGGCGAUUUUUAUAAAAUUUCCUGUCAUUUUAGAAGCGAUUUUGGACCAGUCUGUGAAGAUGUUCAUUUUCACACUAGUUUGAGACCACUAAAAAUCAUAAUAAAAAUUAGGAACAAAGUAGACUCAUUUUAUAAACUCUCAGAGGUGAUGGAUUCAGUUUUUCACUUACGACGAUUUUUCUAUGACUUUUCUAAAAACAGGGACAGUAAAGGGUAAAACUAUCAAAAGUGGUUUAUAGAUUUAUUAACACCUUCUAACAUUUUUGAGCAAUGUUAUACAUUAAGGAAGUUAAAACACAAUCAUUUAAAUAUGUUUAAUUACCAUUUUUACAAAAGUGAUAAGUACAAAAAGGUCUUUAGUAUCAAACUUAAGGAUUAUUUCAUGCAAAGUUUCUAAUAAAAACGUAAGAAUAUGAACAACAAUU